CUCACUGCUAUCGGGGUGAGACUUAACCAUGCAAGUCUAUGCCCACACCCAUCUGUGGGCAUGGCGUACAGCUCAGUAACACGUAGCCAACCUGCCCCAAGGAGAGGGAAACCCCCUGGGAAACUGGGGAUAACCCCCCAUAGGUGACGGGACCUGGAAUGACCCAUCACUCAAAGUGAUCUGGGAAGAUGGUUCUCAGGCCAGCCUUGGGAUGGGGCUGCGGCCGAUCAGGCUGUUGGUGAGGUAACGGCUCACCAAACCUAUAACCGGUACGGGCCGUGAGAGCGGUAGCCCGGAGAUGGACUCUGAGACAAUAGUCCAGGCCCUACGGGGCGCAGCAGGUGCGAAAACUCCGCAAUGCGCGCAAGCGCGACGGGGUCACCCCGAGUGCCGCCUUUUAGGUGGCUUUUACCCAGUGUAAAGAGCUGGGUGAAUAAAGGGGGGGCAAGACGGGUGUCAGCCGCCGCGGUAAUACCCGCUCCCUGAGUGGUGAGGGCUUUUAUUGGGCUUAAAGCGUCCGUAGCCGGCUUGGUGUGUCUCUCGUCAAAUCCGACGUCUCAAGCGUCGACCCGCGAGAGAGACUACCAGGCUUGAGGGUGGAAGAGGUCGACGGUAUCUCCGAGGUAGGGGUAAAAUCCACUGAUCUCGGGGAGACCACCAGUGGCGAAGGCGGUCGGCCAGGACACGCCUGACGGUGAGGGACGAAAGCUGGGGGAGCGAACUGGAUUAGAUACCCAGGUAGUCCCAGCUGUAAACGAUGCAGACUUGGUGUGAGGGUAGCUACGGGCUACCCUCGUGCCGAAGGGAAACCAUUAAGUCUGCCGCCUGGGGAGUACGGUCGCAAGGCUGAAACUUAAAGGAAUUGGCGGGGGAGCACCACAAGGCGUGGACGUUGCGGCUCAAUUGGAUU
rnacentral:rRNA from 1 species